rnacentral:lncRNA from 1 species
CCUAUAGUCUCUAACCCAGUCAAACCCAAUCAUUGCAGAUAACAUGUGCAUCAAUAAACAAGCUCAUCAGCUGAGGGCAUCGCUAACGUUGUUCUUAACACUUAUCUUGUGGAUCAAAUUGAAGAUGUAUUCUACCAACAAGUUCUCCUAUCUACUUUAGUGCAAUUUUAGGUGACUAGUGCUAUCUUAAUGUUGAAAAAUAUGUCUCAAAAAGCCAA